GAAUUGUAAUAUUCAAAAUGCAUUGCUAACAAAAUUGCAUAUGUUAGUUUAUUGGAAAGAACAUUACAAAGGGUGAAAAUCCCAUGUGUCAUGUGUAUGUUUUGUGUACAGUGUGCAUUUCAUGAUUCACAUUCAUUGACAAUUGAAUGUAAAGCGAAUGGUAAACUUCAUUUAAACAUAAAUAUGUUGUUGGAAACUUAUAUCGAACAAAUACCAUGAGGGAAAUGUGAAAAGGAUUUUGAAAAGAAAAUUAAAAGAGCUUACAAUUGCUGGAUUGAUAAGCAAACAAAACACACACGUGUAUGUGCAAGAUUGUUGUCAUGUUGUGCAAUUCAUGCAAACUAACAUUGCUUUGGUUUUUGUGUAAUUUUGUCAGCUUUGGAAUUGAAAAUGAUUUUUUUGAAUGUGAAUGGAUUGGUGUUUGUUAACAAAGGAAUGCACUUUCAAAAUCAUUGUUUGANNNG
rnacentral:rRNA from 1 species